GUUAAUCCAAACAAUUGAAAUUGGUGGGAGAGGAUGGUGUGAAAAGGGACUCCAGGUUUAGCAGGAUCAUCCCAUGGAAGUGACGAGGUUUAGGAAGAUUGUUCUGAGACUACUGACUUACUCAGCUAAAAUGUGAAGCAUGAAACAUUAAAGACAACAGCACUUUCUGAAAAAAGGAGAUUGUGGAAGGGUGGCAAGUUUUUCUAGGAAGACAUUGCCUACCAGCUUGAAACAUGUAAAUUGCUGGAAUUUGCAUCAAAAUAUGACAGCUCUUCUCUGAUGAAGGACUUGGACAGGAACAAAGCAGUGGAUGGAGCAUCCUCCAUAAGGUCAUUUUGGUGCUGUU
rnacentral:lncRNA from 1 species